GCCUUCGGGCAUUUGGUCACAUAGAAACGAUACAGAGAAGAUUAGCAUGGCCCCUGCACUAAGGAUGACACGCUCAAUCAAAGAGAAGCUACAAGUUUUU
rnacentral:snRNA from 1 species